CUGCGUCUGGGAGGCGCGCCGCCUCAUUCUCCUUUAUAUUGCUGCUGACAUGCUGAGGUUGCAUUACGUCACGCUACCCUUGCUGCAGGGUAGGGGGCCAAAGGGGGGUCUCGCGCACGCGCGCGCGCGGGAGAUCGAGGCGCCCGCGCUAGGUUAGUGCGAGACCCCGCCGGCUUGAGGCGGGGGCUGAGCGCCGGCCAAGUCCAAGUGCGCAAGCCCAGAUCUCGGCGCGCCCCUGAGGAGUUUCUGUGGGAAGAUUUUCUGUUUUCCAGGUUUCCCAAGGGAAACGAAGAAAGGGAGGAGGAUAAUCAAUGACUGAACCUCUAAUAGAUGUUGGACGACGUUAAAAAAAAAAUGUAUCGGCCCUACCCUCGAGGAUUUGACAAAUUAGACUGACCAGAGUAAUAAGAGAUACAGGCAGAAGAGGAGACAUAGACACACACAGAGGAGAAGAUGAUGUGAAAAGGGAGGCAGAGAUCACAGUGGUGUGGCUACAAGCCAAGAAAUACCGAAGCCAUCAGAAGUUGGAAGAGAUUUUCUUCCACCUCUGCCAUCUCUGAGACAGCAAGACCAACCUUUUUUCUUCCUCCUCCUCAGCCUACUCAACAUGAAGACAACAAAGAUGAAGACCUUUAUGAUGAUCCAUUUCCACUUAAUGAAUAGUAAAUACAUUUUAUCUUCCUUAUGAUGUUCUUAAUAACAUUUUUUCUCUAGCUUAGUUUACUGUAAGAAUACAGUAUAUAAUACAUAUAACAUGGAAUAUGUGUUAAUCAACUGUUUAUGUUAUCAGUAAGGCUUCUAGUCAACAGUAAGCUAUUAGUAGUUAAGUUUUUGAGGAAUCAAAAGUUAUACACGGAUUUUCUAUUGCACAUGGUGUCAGUGCUCCUAACCCCCACGUUGUUCAAGGGUCAACUGUAGCUAGAAAAGAGGAUUUUGAAUGUUCUCAUCACAAAGAAAUGAUCAUUGUUACAUCUGUGUAGUGUGGGAACAAGGAAAAAAAAGAAAUGAUAAUAGUUUGAUGUGAUGGAUAAGCUAAGUACCCUGAUUUGAUCAUAUACAGUGUAUACAUGUAUCAAAAUAUCAAAAUGUAUCCAAUAAAUAUGCACAAUUAUUAUGUGUCAAUUUAAAAUGAAAUAAAACUUUGAGAAAAUAAUGUCA
rnacentral:lncRNA from 10 species